GGAACACUGGCGGGGGGCCGCACCAGAGCCUUACAGAAAGUUUCAUCCACCUCAUUGUCAUGGCCUUGGUCAAGCUGCACGCAGGCCACCAUUUGUGUGGCAGUGCCAAGGCCACAGCUGGCUGAGCACGGGCCAAGGGGCAGGACUUUCCAUCUGCAGGAAGAAAAGACCCCAAGGACAGUUAUUUGGGCUUCUGUGUGUAGGACUAUUGAAGGACCCUCAGCUUCUUCAACAAUGGUCUGCCUGGUCUCUGGUCAUGGGUCUCCACUAACAGCAUUGAGCUUCACUAUUGCUCUUCAUGUCUGUGUCGUCGAUUGGCCCACUGCUACUCUGGAACCCUUGGGAACCAAGGCAGCGGGAUGAGCCAGACCAAGACCACUUCAGGUGUGUAUGGCCUGUACCUUAUACCACUGGCAUCUGAUCCUGCAUAGCUGCGUCCUGUGCACUGACAGAUGGGCGUGGUUAACUUCUGCCCACUAGGAGCCAUAUCAAAUAGCCCUAAUUGUGACCAUUAACCUGAAGUUGACUGUGUGCCCUUUGAGGCAGAAUCCUGCCUGGCUGAGGGACUAGUUCCCUGCAAAGAAGAGAGACUGUGGACAGAUCAGUGCAGGUUACAGAGCGACCACACAACACCUCAGUGGUAACCAGAACCCACAUGUGCACGCACUUCCCAUGGAACAAACAAACAAACAACGAUUUAGAUGGGUGUGGGGGCACAUGCCUACUAUCCCACAACUUGAGAGGUGAAGGCCUGAGGUUCAAGAAUUCAAGGCUAUCUUUAGUUACAUAGAGAGUUUGGAGCUAGCCUGGGCUACAAGGCACUGUCUCAAAAAAAAAAAAAAGAAAAAAGAAAAGAAAAAAAGAAAAAGAAA
rnacentral:lncRNA from 1 species